rfam:Octopus bimaculoides Scaffold176663_contig_13, whole genome shotgun sequence.
CUAAUUGUGAUGAAUAAGAUAUCACCCCAGUCUGAAUUGUGUGACUGAAUCGAUUUAACUUGAAUUUAG